UGGAUUUUGGAGGAGCUCCUUUCAGUCCAAUAGAGAGGGCAGAAGAGUGGUUAGAGCUGCCAUCUCAUGCAUUCUUGGUUACCCUUAUUAUUUUUCAAACCCCUGGUGGUGGCGGCGGCGGCGGCAAUGGCAAUGGCAAUGCUUGAAAUGAAAUAUAUAAGUUUAACCAGAUGCAUGGUGUGGGAGCAACUCCUACCACUUAAUUUGUUCACUCAUUGGACUGAAGGGAGCUCCCCAAUACCGUCUC
rnacentral:pre_miRNA from 1 species